UAUUUUCUAGAUGAUCCCUGUUAUUUUCUAUCUCAUCCCUAAUAUUUUCUAGCUUAUUCCCAGGGUAUUGUAUUAAACAAAAUUGUUAUCGGACCCAUGUCCGGCUUUCUCUCAGCUAUCAUUUUCAUCAUCACCACCACCAUCACCAUCAUCGUCAUUGUCAUCGCUUUUGUCAUCAAGUAGGACAUUUUCAAACCCAAACCAAAGCAACCCUGAAGCAACUGGCGUCUGUGGUGUAGCGGUCAGGUGUUUCACCAUUGCAUGUAGGAGACGCAAGUUCAAUUCCCGAGUGGGGAGAAGAUUCCAGAGGUCAGAGCUGCUGUAUAGUAGGAUGUUAAUCGUCUCUUGACUUGAGACGUUGAAAUUCUGUUUGUUGAGUUUGCAGGUGUGGUAGACUUGUUGAAAAUGAUUCUGUUUGCUUUAUAUCACUGGUUCAAAUCAUGUACAAUGACUUGUGCCACUUACAAUAACUUUAUAGAUUUGAAAUAUUUGAAUGACGGCCUGAACAAGUGAAUGCUGCACUAUAAAUGUUGUUAUUGUUAUUUUUCUAUAGUAUUGGUAUGCUUUAUAUUACUAUCCAUUUUAAUAAAUAUGUUUGAAAUUUACAAUAA